rnacentral:rRNA from 1 species
CACGUGGGUGAUCUGCCCUGCACUUCGGGAUAAGCCUGGGAAACUGGGUCUAAUACCGGAUAGGACCACAUUUUGGAUGGUGUGGUGGAAAGUUUUUCGGUGUGGGAUGAGCUCGCGGCCUAUCAGCUUGUUGGUGGGGUAAUGGCCUACCAAGGCGUCGACGGGUAGCCGGCCUGAGAGGGUGUACGGCCACAUUGGGACUGAGAUACGGCCCAG